AGGGGUAAAGCUCAGUAGCUGAGCACAUGCUUGGCAUGCAUGAGGUCCUGGGUUCAAUCCCCAGGGCUUCUA
rnacentral:tRNA from 1 species